rnacentral:lncRNA from 1 species
UUUCCUUUUUCUUUUUUUCUUCUUCUUCCUGCUAUAAAAACAUCAAUUGCUCUCUUCUUCUUAUCUCUUUCCCACUUCUUCCCGACUUUAUUUCUUUUCUCUCUUCUUAUCCUUUUACACAGACAGCAAGAGAGAGGACUGAGGGACAUAAAGCUAAUUCCUACGCACGAUCCAUUUCAUAUCUGUGAGUGUUCGUUUUGGUUUAAACGGACAUACCAGACCGUCCAACAC